rnacentral:misc_RNA from 1 species
GAUGAAGAACGUAGCGAAAUGCGAUACUUGGUGUGAAUUGCAGAAUCCCGUGAACCAUCGAGUCUUUGAACGCAAGUUGCGCCCGAAGCCAUUAGGCCGAGGCACGCCUGCCUGGGCGUCACACGUCGUUGCCCCCCCAUCUACUCCUUCGGGAUUGCGGGGGGCGGAUGAUGGCCUCCCGUGCGCCUCGCCGCGCGGUUGGCAUAAAUGCCAAGUCCUCGGCGACGCACGCCACGACAAUCGGUGGUUGCGAAACCUCGGUUGCCCGUCGUGUGCGGUCGUCGCGCAUCGAGGGCUCGAAAAAAUUGCCGGGUUCCGGCUCGGCUUUCAACGCGACCCCAGGUCAGGCGGGGUUACCCGCUGAAUUUAAGCAUAUCAAUAAGCGGAGGA